GCCAUCUGCUGUGUGUCCCCUGCAAAAUAGACAGCUAGGCAUGGGACACCCCAUAUGCCAAAAUGUUAUGGGGGCAGUACUGACCGUGCAAGUAAUGAUUGUGUUUCUUUUGAGGUAAAAAAUGUGCCUGUGUAAAUAAAUGUGGGCGAAGUUAUGAGAAUAGGCUUAGUUUUGAGUGAAUUUAUGUGUCUGUUUAUGAGUAGAGUACAUAAGGGUAGACAAAUUAACACAAGGCUUUAAGUCUGAAAUAUCAAAAAAUGCUUGAGUG